rnacentral:rRNA from 1 species
GACGAACGCUGGCGGCGUGCUUAGCACAUGCAAGUCGAACGGAAAGGCCCUGCUUUUGUGGGGUGCUCGAGUGGCGAACGGGUGAGUAACACGUGAGUAACCUGCUCUUGACUUUGGGAUAACUUCAGGAAACUGGGGCUACUACAGGAUAGGAGCUCCUGCUGCAUGGUGGGGGUUGGAAAGUUUCGGCGGUUGGGGAUGGACUCGCGGCUUAUCAGCUUGUUGGUGGGGUAGUGGCUUACCAAGGCUUUGACGGGUAGCCGGCCUGAGAGGGUGACCGGCCACAUAGGGACUGAGGUACGGCCCAGACGCCUACGGGAGGCAGCAGUGGGGAAUAUUGCACCAUGGGCGGAAGCCUGAUGCAGCAACGCCGCGUGCGGGAUGACGGCCUUCGGGUUAUAAACCGCUUUCGCCUGUGACGAAGCGUGAGUGACGGUAAUGGGUAAAGAAGCAACGGCUAACUACGUG